AGGGAUAUUAGUUUAAUGGUAGAACAAGAUGGUACGGUCAUCUUGAUUGUAGUUCAAGUCUGCAAUAUCCUUA
rnacentral:tRNA from 1 species